GAUGAAGAACGCAGCGAAAUGCGAUAGCUAGUGUGAAUUGCAGAUUUCAGUGAAUCAUCGAAUCUUUGAACGCACAUUGCGCCCCCUGGUAUUCCGGGGGGCAUGCCUGUCCGAGCGUCAUUACAACCCUCAAGCUCAGCUUGGUGUUGGGCCCCGCCGCCCCGGCGGGCCCUAAAGUCAGUGGCGGUGCCGUCCGGCUCCGAGCGUAGUAAUUCUUCUCGCUCUGGAGGUCCGGUCGUGUGCUUGCCAGCAACCCCCAAUUUUUUUCAGGUUGACCUCGGAUCAGGUAGGGAUACCCGCUGAACUUAAGCAUAUCAAUAAGCGGAGGA
rnacentral:misc_RNA from 1 species